CUUUGCAGGUUCAGUUGCACGGCCCGCCACCUAGAUGGCUCUUUUUGCCAAUAAGCGCUACUCCCUGGCCCUGUUUUUAUGCACUCUGGUGAGACUUCUACCCCUGAGGAAUCCAGUUCUCUGCCUUCUCUGGUCUUUUCCAGGUUUAUUGAACAUAUUUAGAAAAGAAAAUACAUGAAAUGAUCAGAGACGACACAUUCACAGGUCGGGCUUAUGACCUCAGGCCCUCGACGCUCCAGGCAAACGCACAGCACUCCCGUUCUGCACAGAAGCCACGGCCCGCCUUCCUGUAGCUCCGUCACCCUCCCACCCGCGCAGCCAGCCUUGCCCCCAGCAGGCUCAGCAGGUGGACAGAGGGAGUGCAGAGGCCCAGGUGUAUGGUUCGGUUCUGGGAUGCCUCCUAUUCGUUGGAUGAAUGAGGCCUCAGCCUACAUUUUCUGUUCAACCCCAUUUUAUGCUAUUCCACCCUGGGCUUCCCUCCAGUUGAGUAAAUUAGUUCCUGACUCUGAAUCUGUAUCAGGAAAUACCUCCUUCCCUCCAGCCCUCCUUGCCUGGCUCCUCAUUCAAGACCCAGGAAUCGGAAGGGGAUAUACUCACAAGAGUGGAGAAGCACCUGUCGGCAACGCAGUAACGAGUCCUUGUCCUGAGCAGAUGCAAGCUGACUGGUCAACACCUUGGUCGAGGGCACCAGGUAUGGCCAGAGGGCAAAGAGGUUGCUUUCUCAGAAAAACACCUUGCGACACAUCACGUGACGCAUCACAGAUCUGUGAAGGCUGCGUAGAUAUUUGGAAACGGUCACAGGCUGUUCCGUUCCAAAGUGAGGAAUGUAAGGAGAGAGGCUGAGGUUGAAAAUGGGGCUUGACCGCCUCGAUACGAGGCUUUCGGGUUUGCAUUGGUUGCUAAGGAGGUUCUAAGGUCCGUUGUGAGAGAGCAAUUUCCACAAAUAUUUUGAAGCAAGAGAUGCUCUUUUUCUUUCUUUCUUUUCUUUUUUUUAUAGGUUUAUGGAGACAUAGUUGACAUAUCACACCUGAAGUUCCAGGUGUUCAGUGCUGUUGAUUUGCUACGUGUGUGUAUUGCACGAUGACCGCCACCGGCGGGCCUCGGCUACCACCUCUAUCCUGUCACAUAGUUCCUACGUCUUUCGUGUGGUGAGAACUUCUAAGAUCUUCUUUCUUUCUUUCUUUCUUUCUUUCUUUCUUUCUUUCUUUCUUUCUUUCUUUCUUUCUUUCUUUUUAAAGAUUUUAUUUAUUUAUUUAUUCAUGAGACACACACAGAGGCAGAGACCCAGGCAGAGGGAGAAGCAGGCUCCAUGCAGGGAGCCCGACGUGGGACUCGAUCCCGGGUCUCCAGGGUCACGCCCUGGGCCGAAGGCCGUGCUAAACCACUGAGCCACCGGGGCUGCCCAAGAUCUACUUUCUCAACCACAGUCAAGUAUAUGACACAGUGUUAUUGGCCAUCGUCACUGUGAUAGACGUUAGAUCUCCAAACCUGUUAAUCUUAGAACUGGAAGUUCACGCCCCAUUUCCCACACCACCCCCUGAUCACCACCACUCUACUCCGUGUUCAUCUGAGCUUGACCUUUUUAGGUUCCAUAUAUAAGUGAUAAUUGGUCCUCUUUUGGAACAAGUGGUGGCCCUUUGCCUCUCAGAAUCACUAGUUUGAAGAGGACAAUGGCCCCUUGGAGGUAGAAGUUCUGAUUUAUUUGUGACAAAGUUGUUCUCACCUUCCAUCAUGUAGAUCUUGGACGUGGCUUUAGCAAGGACACUGACAUAGUUGGUGAAGUUCCUUGGUCCUAAAGCCUUGAAAGGCUGAGGCAUCAUUAGAUCCUGGGAAAAUGUGUGUGUUGGGGGGACAACACAUGUUGGGAACCUUCCUGAAGGGAGGAACCUAUGAGGUGGAGUUAGAAAAGAGGAGAAGGAGAAGUCAGGGCUUCACGCUAGAGACUUAUUGGGAGUCUUGGAUGUGGAAAGGGAGAGGCAAAACCAGGACAAAUCAGCUUAGUGGAAAUGAUUUAGGGGACCCCUGUCAUUGAAGGUGACAUAAAUGUGAGGCAAAGGGAAUUGUUUGAAGACUGGGAUGGUUUUUACAGGAAGCUGUGAUAAGAUGGAAUCCUAAAUAGGAGGAAAGGAGCUCCCUGUGUAACUCUGUGCCUUUAUCCACUUUUGGCAAUUGGAGCUGGUUCUAAAGCCCUGAUGGGACUUGGACUGGGUCUUCGCCAAGUCCCCAUCGGCCCGACCCAUCCUUUCAUCCCCUGAGGCACCAGGGAGGCAAGCCCAGAUACGUGAAUUGCCAAUUCAAUCGCGAAAUGACUUGGACAAAUAGGAUUUUUAUGUUCCUGUAAGUUCACGUGUGCAGAGGCCUUGGGGGAAAAAGAAGCUGCCCAGUGGGGUGUGAAGGACACUAGGGUUUGUGUUCUCUGCUGAGAUUCCAGGAACCUUGGGAGGCCUUUGUAUCCUGAAAUGUCCCAAACGGGCCACAAACGCUUGGUUCCCUCUGGUUUUCUCUUGAGUAGAAUUCCAUUCCCUCCCUCUCUUCCUGCUCUGAGUUGGCAACGAUGAAGAACCAGCUGGACGCAUCGGAGGGAUUUAGCUUCCUUAAUGGGUCGGACGGACGCUUGGAGGGGAAGGGGCCUAGGGAGAGGCCAUUCCAUCCAUAGCUGCUGGCCUGGCAGGGAGGAGGGAAGCAAUACGCCCCAACUGUCUUGUGUACGGUGGAGCUGGGGUGGGCGGAUAAGCGUUUAUUCCGACUUUACGUUUCGCUGUGAGUAUGCGAUUUUGCUCUGUGGAUACACACUAUGACUGCAUGUUUACAGAAUCAUCUUUCUCAAGGCUAGGAGUCUCCUUGUUCUCCAGCUUUCUGUAAUACGCCCUUUUUAUACAUGAAAAAUGACAUAUGAGGCGAGUCCAGUUCAUUCCCCCAAGUAUCAGUGAUUCCCGGGGCCUUCUGUUCUCAUGGCCAUUUCUCCCUAUGAUUUCCUUUUCUGGUCGAACUACGGAUCUAUCUUAGUUCUCUGUGGCUGUUAUAUUGGCUUUGAAUGUCCCCAAAUAUAAGACUUGGUUCCCUUUGUCUGAAUUCCUCUAAGCGCCACCAGCAUGAAGCUGUUGGGUGAGACAUCCCAGGACGACAGUUUUAUUUUGACAAUUGACCACCAACGGGGCAUGUUCACUGGUCAUGGCUGACGCAGAAUUUCUCACUAUCCGGCUCCCUCUUGAGGCCUCUUCCUGGACUUCUCUACUGUCCCCUUCCUGUUGUCCCUUUCUCCUAAUUUUUUCACUUUUCCCCCUCACUCGUUCCCAAGACAAGUGUUUGUGGCGUGUGCACCACUUGCAGGGACUGUUGUGCCCACUGGUUUGCGGAGCUGUCCUGGUUUCUUAUUGCCUCACUUUUCCAACAAAACGCAUUCAGAGAUCCUCAGGGUAUAUUUUUAGGCAACAGACAAAACAGAACCAAACAAACAAGACAACCCUCUGCCUCUGGGGUGGAAGUUGUCUCUCUUCUUUAAGACAAGAGAUCUACAGUCAGUUAUUUAUUUAUUUUAAUAAAUUUAUUUUUUAUUGGUGUUCA
rnacentral:lncRNA from 12 species